rnacentral:rRNA from 1 species
UACGUAGGUGGCAAGCGUUGUCCGGAUUUAUUGGGUUUAAAGGGUGCGUAGGCAGUUCCAUAAGUCAGUGGUGAAAUACGGCAGCUCAACUGUCGAGGUGCCAUUGAUACUGCGGAACUUGAGUACUGAUGAGGUAGGCGGAAUUGACGGUGUAGCGGUGAAAUGCGUAGAGAUCGGAAAGAACACCAACGGCGAAAGCACUCCGCUGGGCCGACACUGACACUGAGAGACGAAAGCUAGGGGAGCGAAUGGG